rnacentral:rRNA from 1 species
AUUGAACGCUGGCGGCAUGCCUUACACAUGCAAGUCGAACGGCAGCACGGGUGCUUGCACCUGGUGGCGAGUGGCGAACGGGUGAGUAGUACAUCGGAACGUACCUUAUCGUGGGGGAUAACGCAGCGAAAGCUGUGCUAAUACCGCAUACGCCCUGAGGGGGAAAGCGGGGGAUCGCAAGACCUCGCGCGAUUCGAGCGGCCGAUGCCUGAUUAGCUUGUUGGUGGGGUAAAAGCCCACCAAGGCGACGAUCAGUAGCUGGUCUGAGAGGACGAUCAGCCACACUGGGACUGAGACACGGCCCAGACUCCUACGGGAGGCAGCAGUGGGUAAUUUUGGACAAUGGGGGCAACCCUGAUCCAGCAAUGCCGCGUGAGUGAAGAAGGCCUUCGGGUUGCAAAGCUCUUUUGUCAGGGAAGAGACACCGGCUCUAACACAGUCCGGGAAUGACGGUACCUGAAGAAUAAGCACCGGCUAACUACGUGCCAGCCGCCGCGGUAA